AUUGAACGCUGGCGGCAUGCCUUACACAUGCAAGUCGAACGGCAGCGCGGACUUCGGUCUGGCGGCGAGUGGCGAACGGGUGAGUAAUACAUCGGAACGUACCCUGUUGUGGGGGAUAACUAGUCGAAAGAUUAGCUAAUACCGCAUACGACCUGAGGGUGAAAGUGGGGGACCGCAAGGCCUCACGCAGCAGGAGCGGCCGAUGUCUGAUUAGCUAGUUGGUAGGGUAAAGGCCCACCAAGGCGACGAUCAGUAGCUGGUCUGAGAGGACGAUGCGCCACACUGGGACGGAGACACGGCCCAGACUCCUACGGGAGGUAGCAGUGGGGAAUUUUGGACAGUGAGGGCAACCCUGAUCCAGCCAUGCCGCGUGCGGGAAGAAGGCCUUCGGGUUGUAAACCGCUUUUGGCCGGGAAGAAAGGGCGCCAGCUAAUACCUGGCGCUGUUGACGGUACCGGCAGAAUAAGCACCGGCUAACUACGUGCCAGCCGCCGCGGUAA
rnacentral:rRNA from 1 species